rnacentral:rRNA from 1 species
UUGAACGCUGGCGGCAGGCCUAACACAUGCAAGUCGAGCGGUAGAGAGAAGCUUGCUUCUCUUGAGAGCGGCGGACGGGUGAGUAAUGCCUAGGAAUCUGCCUGGUAGUGGGGGAUAACGUCCGGAAACGGACGCUAAUACCGCAUACGUCCUACGGGAGAAAGCAGGGGACCUUCGGGCCUUGCGCUAUCAGAUGAGCCUAGGUCGGAUUAGCUAGUUGGUGAGGUAAUGGCUCACCAAGGCGACGAUCCGUAACUGGUCUGAGAGGAUGAUCAGUCACACUGGAACUGAGACACGGUCCAGACUCCUACGGGAGGCAGCAGUGGGGAAUAUUGGACAAUGGGCGAAAGCCUGAUCCAGCCAUGCCGCGUGUGUGAAGAAGGUCUUCGGAUUGUAAAGCACUUUAAGUUGGGAGGAAGGGCAUUAACCUAAUACGUUAGUGUUUUGACGUUACCGACAGAAUAAGCACCGGCUAACUCUGUGCCAGCMGCCGCGGUAA